rnacentral:rRNA from 1 species
UACGUAGGGCGCAAGCGUUGUCCGGAAUUAUUGGGCGUAAAGAGCUCGUAGGCGGCUUGUCACGUCGGGUGUGAAAGCCCGGGGCUUAACCCCGGGUCUGCAUUCGAUACGGGCUAGCUAGAGUGUGGUAGGGGAGAUCGGAAUUCCUGGUGUAGCGGUGAAAUGCGCAGAUAUCAGGAAGAACACCGGUGGCGAAGGCGGAUCUCUGGGCCAUUACUGACGCUGAGGAGCGAAAGCGUGGGGAGCGAACAGG